UACGUAGGGUGCAGGCGUUAGUCCGGAAUUAUGUGCGUAAAGCGUGCGCAGGCGGUUUGCUAAGACAGGUGUGAAAUCCCCGGGCUUAACCUGGGAACUGCGCUUGUUACUGGCAAGCUUGAGUGUGGCAGAGGGGGGUGGAAUUCCACGUGGUAGCAGUGAAAUGCGUAGAGAUGUGGAGGAACACCGAUGGCGAAGGGACAGCCC
rnacentral:rRNA from 1 species